rnacentral:rRNA from 1 species
GAUGAACGCUGGCGGCGUGCCUAAUACAUGCAAGUCGAGCGAACAGACGAGGAGCUUGCUCCUCUGACGUUAGCGGCGGACGGGUGGGUAACACGUGGAUAACCUACCUAUAAGACUGGGAUAACUUCGGGAAACCGGAGCUAAUACCGGAUAAUAUAUUGAACCGCAUGGUUCAAUAGUGAAAGACGGUUUUGCUGUCACUUAUAGAUGGAUCCGCGCCGCAUUAGCUAGUUGGUAAGGUAACGGCUUACCAAGGCGACGAUGCGUAGCCGACCUGAGAGGGUGAUCGGGCACACUGGAACUGGAACACGGUCCAGACUCCUACGGGAGGCAGCAGUAGGGAAUCUUCCGCAAUGGGCGAAAGCCUGACGGAGCAACGCCGCGUGAGUGAUGAAGGUCUUCGGAUCGUAAAACUCUGUUAUUAGGGAAGAACAAAUGUGUAAGUAACUAUGCACGUCUUGACGGUACCUAAUCAGAAAGCCACGGCUAACUACGUG